rnacentral:tRNA from 4 species
GGGCCGUUAGCUCAGUCGGUUAGAGCAGAGGACUCAUAAUCCUUUGGUCCGGGGUUCGAGCCCCCGACGGCCUACCA